GGCCAACUACCAAUAAACGAGCUUCACCUCGACGACGGAGUCCAAAGCCAAAUAGCUAUGGCAGGUAUGACUCCUAUACUUUUCUUUCUGCUCUUCGUACAUAGAUCUUGAUGAAAAUCAAAGGAGAUGAGUAUCUUCGACACCCUCCGCCAAUGAAAGUGCCACCGAGGAGCCGUGACAGAAAAUGUACUGUCAAUUUCAUCAUGAUCAUGGACACGAUACUGAACAGUGCAUCCAACUCAAGGAUGAAAUAAAGGUUCUGAUUCGACGAGACUAUCUCAAAAAAUUUCGACG
rnacentral:lncRNA from 1 species